rnacentral:rRNA from 1 species
GUCGUACGAGUUCUCGUUGAUGAUCGGUGCUUGCACUGAGAUUCAACAUGGAACGAGUGGCGGACGGGUGAGUAACACGUGGGUAACCUGCCCUUAAGUGGGGGAUAACAUUUGGAAACAGAUGCUAAUACCGCAUAGAUCCAAGAACCGCAUGGUUCUUGGCUGAAAGAUGGCGUAAGCUAUCGCUUUUGGAUGGACCCGCGGCGUAUUAGCUAGUUGGUGAGGUAAUGGCUCACCAAGGCGAUGAUACGUAGCCGAACUGAGAGGUUGAUCGGCCACAUUGGGACUGAGACACGGCCCAAACUCCUACGGGAGGCAGCAGUAGGGAAUCUUCCACAAUGGACGCAAGUCUGAUGGAGCAACGCCGCGUGAGUGAAGAAGGCUUUCGGGUCGUAAAACUCUGUUGUUGGAGAAGAAUGGUCGGCAGAGUAACUGUUGUCGGCGUGACGGUAUCCAACCAGAAAGCCACGGCUAACUACGUGCCAGCAGCCGCGGUAAUACGUAGGUGGCAAGCGUUAUCCGGAUUUAUUGGGCGUAAAGCGAGCGCAGGCGGUUUUUUAAGUCUGAUGUGAAAGCCCUCGGCUUAACCGAGGAAGCGCAUCGGAAACUGGGAAACUUGAGUGCAGAAGAGGACAGUGGAACUCCAUGUGUAGCGGUGAAAUGCGUAGAUAUAUGGAAGAACACCAGUGGCGAAGGCGGCUGUCUGGUCUGUAACUGACGCUGAGGCUCGGAAGCAUGGGUAGCGAACAGGAUUAGAUACCCUGGUAGUCCAUGCCGUAAACGAUGAAUGCUAGGUG